AUAUGUAUUUCAUUUCUCUUUUUUAAAUAAGGAAAUAAGGACCCCAAGAGCUGCAGUCCUUGAGCCUGUCCCUAAUUCCACUCUCCUGCCUCUUUCCGAGAGGUCGCUCUCUUCUAAGGCUGCUGCUUCCUUUAAUCCUCUUACUCCAUUUUUGUGCUCCAAUAAAUAUGUGCAGUAUCGGUGAUGUGUUUUUAGAAUUUAUGCGAAUGCAUUCAUACUGGGUAUUUUUUGCAAAGGGCUUUUUUAGUCUACAUUUUAGCUGCUUUAUGGUAUUUGUUUGUUGGCUAGAUCUCAGCUUCCUUGUUUGUUCAUUCAUUAUAAACAUGUGGCUCAAUUCUGAUCUCUUACUUGUCUCCUAGGAGUGGAAUUGCUGGCACACGGGGCAGAGGCAUCUUCAGUUAAAAUGGUUGAUGAGUGAUACUGUUCUUACCAACAGCUUUCUGUUCUUUAUAACCAUUUAUAUACUUAUUCUUCUUCUCAUUAUUAUUUAAAAAAUUUCCACCAAUGACUCAUAAAUGAGAAGCAAGUUUGCAUCGCACACUCCAGUACUGCAUAAAUAUUUCCCAGUUACCUUCCUUCCCUUCAAAGGACGAGGCGCCUCAUUUAGCCAGUCUCUGCCCAUCUGGAAUCCAUCCACAUCUGCUAGGGCCUCAUGCGCUCAGCUGGGAGCUGAGUCUUGAGAAGGGUCUGGGGACGAGUCUGCUAAGAACGUAGGGAUUCCCAGGAAGGGAGUAUCCGGUGGUGUCACGACUAGUCUCACAUGUUAAGAGAGCACAUGGACAAAAAUGUGUCCAUGAUUUAUGUUUCUUGACAUAAACUUCACAAUUCAGAAGUUAUAAGCCCAAAGCACACGUGGAGGAGAGGCUGCAGCAGUACUGCCCCCAAAAUGCUACCACUGACCAAAACAGUUCUUCAAAAUCACUCAAUUUUUGCAGCGUUAGUCUAUUUCAUAGCCAUUUGAUAUGUAACAUAGAAGGAUAAAGCACUUUUUAGGGGUUAGUGUUGUUUUAGGUUCUUUAAAUUCAUUAGACCUCUUGACCUUUACUAUAGGCUUUAGGGCGAGGUACCAUUUACAUCCUUUCUACAGAUGAGGGUACGGAUGCUGGGGCUGGGUGGAGGUAAGGAAUCCGCUCAAGAGGAUGCAGCCAGGAAAUGCAGAGGCAGGAUUUCAGACCUACUCUCCUGGGCCCUGGAGCCCCUGGUGUCACAGAGAGAUGACACAGAUUUUCACUUCAAAAAAUACACAAAACCCAUUCCUGCCCAAAGUGGUAACUUGAAUCUCAUCAAGAGAAACCAAACCAAAUCAAGGGACAUCCUUCAAAACAACUGAAAUACGCUCUUCAAAAGUAUCGAUGCACAAAAGACAAGAGCUGAGGAAGUGCUCCUGAUAGAAGGACGCUGAGGAGAUUUGACAGCUAAAGGUCACAUGUCAUACUGGAUUGGGGGAAGAUGCUGUAAAAAGGUUACAGGGACAAUGGGCAAAAUUGAGCACAGAAUGUAUUUUAGCUAAUAGUAUUAAAUCAACAUUAAAUUUCCUGAAUUUAAUCACAGUCAUUAUGAUUAUGAAGGAAACAUCCUUGCUCUUAGGAGAAAUAUUUCUUUAAUGAUUAGGCAUACCGAUUACUCCUAAUAUACCUAUGGAUUACUUGUUGUUUUUAAGAUUGGCACCUGAGCUAACAACUUGCCAAUCAUUUUUUUUUUUGGCUUUUUCUCUCCAAAUUCCCCCAGUAGAUAGUUGUAUAUUUUUAGUUGUGGGUCCUUCUGGUUGUGGCACGUGGGACACCGCCUCAGCAUGGCCUGAUGAGUGGUGCCAUGUCUGCAUCCAGGAUCUGAACCAGCAAAACCUUGGGCUGCCAAAGCAGAGCAUGCAAACUUAACCAUUCGGCCACAGGGCCGGCUCCUUGUUAUUCUUUUUAAAUGACUAUCCUAUUGUUAUCUUUUGGCAAUUUAAAAAUGAAGGUAUGGUAUGAAUAGAUUGAUUUCAAUUUGUUUUUUUUUAAUUAUUUUAUUGAAGUCAUAUCUACUCGUGUAAAUCUCAGGUGUACAUUAUUAUAACUCAGUUUCUGUAUAGACUGCAUCGUGUUCACCAUCAAUAAUCUAGUUUUUAUCUGUUACCGUACAUAUGUGUCCCUUUACCCCUUUUGCCCUUCCCCCACCCCCUUCCCCUCUGGUAACCACUGAUCUGUUCUCUUAUCCCUGUGUUAGUUUCUCUUCUGCAUAUGAGUGAAAUCGUAGAGUGUUUGUUUAAUACCCUCAAAGUCCAUCCAUGGUGCAAAUGGCACAAUUUUGUUUGUUCAUGGCUGAGUAGUAUUCCACUGUAUAAAUAUACCACAUCUUCUUCAUCUGUUCAUCAGUUGAUAGGCACUUGGGUGGCUUCCACAUCUUGGCUGUUGUGAAUGGUGCUGCAAUGAACAUAGGGGUGCAUAAGUCUCUUUGAGUUGUUGAUUUCAAGUUCUGUGGAUGACAAUUUGGUUUUUUUCAAGUGGAAUUUAUUGCAUGCAUACUGAAUGGUUCAUGGAGUCAAGGAAAGAACUGGAACAACCAGGGUAGGGGAAAAAGGAAGUGGCAUUAGAUGACGCCAUUUCUAAGGAUCUGGUGGGCUUCUUCAGGGUGAGCGCCCCAGCCCCUUAAUCACUAAUUGUUCUCUGUAAGGGCUGGGACAACCCCACCUCAUUAAAUGCCGAUUACACUCUUAGUUUCCUAACAUGGCGUGUGUCCCUAAAUUCAAAAUGUCAAGUUACAUUAAAAAUGCAUGAGCUUGCUUUAAUUUAAAGCCUACAGCCUUUGACUAAUUUGGGGGUGAAAGGGAGAAAGUCCCAUUGCAAAAUUUCAAAUUAAAUUGCUGAGGUUGGGGAAGCAGGGAAGGAGCACCCAAGAGCCUGUGGAUAUAAUCUUUUGAGACUCAGCCUGAGGAGGACUCUUCCGUGAGGCCCUCUCAGGUGCUCAGCUUGCCCAGAGCCCCUCCUGGGUGGUCCAGCAGCUCUUCUGUGGCACUUACUGAGUCAUCUUGUCAGGGGCCGUCUGGGUGUGCGUCUCCCCGUGACUGUACGUGUAACAAGGAAAGUCUCUGGCACUUAUUUCCUUUGGCUUUCAGGGCCUGACUUAGUGCCUGGCAUGGAGGGGGAAGCCAUAAAUAUUUAAGUUAAACUAAAUUUCUUUUAAAAAAUAGCUUGUCCAGAGGCCUCCUGUGUCUCUGCCUAGAUCUAAGAGUCAGGGUCUGAGGACUCCGCCGGCCACCGUGCUCACCGCUGUGUUUUAGACAGAAUUCUAAUAAGCUCAUCUGAUGUCCUGCCUGCAGUAAGAACAAGAACUUGGAACAAAGAAAGAGGGAAUGUAGUCUGCUCCUGGAAGAGAACGUUCACAGCAGCACUAAGGAAAAUCCUAAUGGAGACGAGGGGAAGAAAGUCAGGAACAGCGUGAGAGUCUGGAAAUAGGGACCCUGGUUGACAUCUCUUAAGGACCCUGCUGAUUCACCAAAAGACGGGGGGACCGUGCACCACGGGCUCUGGUGCAGAGGCAGAGAAGGGUACAGUCUUCUCAAAGGUUAAAAGAAAAUGUUAUGGAACAUUUAAAUUGGUUCUUUUUGGACAUGUCACCGUGUCCAAAGUGUAACAGAUGGGAGCUGCUGUGCGUUUUCAUUAAUCGUUGUUUUCGUGAACGUUCGGACGGUCCCUGCUUCUAAUUUUAAAGCAGACGAACAGAACAUUCUGUAUUUCUAAAAGAUCCCACCAAACGUGAAUUACUUUUGUGGCCCUCGACCAAGUUUUGUCAGAAAUAAAACCUGACUCUCCUCAGGCAGCUUUGUGACUCCCCAGGAAGAGACGAGAGCCAGGCUCCCAGCGUCCCCACCUCCUGAAGGAGACACUGCGGGCACAGGCAGCCUUUGCCGGCCUCCAUCCUCCCAGGAAAUAAAGACCCGGAGUCGCUGGGAUCAUGGACGCAGAGCCCCAACCCGUGACCACAGAGCGGUUCACCCCCACAGCCCCACGGGGCCUUGUGGGAGCCCUGCCUCAGGUCCGGUGCGCACGGGAAGCCCUGGGCCACACCCGACUUCCCAGAGCUCGGAAACAUCUGUGCUGCCUCCCGGCUCCUGGUUCCUUGGGCGAGAAGCCUCGCGCAGAACAGCCUGGGACCUGAGGCUCCAGCCUUCCAGGGAUCAGGCGCUGCCCCCUCCCCUCCACGUCCAGCCACCCCGCUGGCCAGCUCGCUGCCUCCCCCAGCUCUUGGGACCCCUCCCGGGAAGUCAGGGCCUUGAUGAGCUCCAGGGUUCUGCCCAGUUUCUCGGGCCUUGGCCCCCAAGCCACUGCUCCUCUUUGCCAGAGCUGGUGCUCUGCGGCCAAGGGACCACUGGACUGCUGCUCACCUCAGGGUCAGGCUGCGUCAGAGGACUGUGGGGAGAACAGCGGCCCCCAAGGGAGAUGCCCCAGGCCAGGCAGCCUCCAGGAUCAGAACCCAGCAGCGGCCUGGCGUGGACUCCACUGGACGUUUUGAGAACCGAGGACUUGGUGACUAGAUACUUCUGUCAGCCUUGCCCUCCCAUAGCUACACUUUACCAAUUUUUGGAAUAAACAAUUGCCACUACCUGAGCACAUCGCAAGUCUCUAUACGGUUUUACAAAUCUGGGGCAUUUAACGUAAUUUUCCAUAUUCUUAACUCAGCGACUGAGAGGUUCAGAGAUUAGAACAAUCUUUGGAAAAUACAUUCCUCAGAGGUCCAGCGUCUGCUCAACUGGGAACAACUUUGAAAAAAGGCAGAAGGGCAGAUGUGAGCUAUGAGGAGAGGGAAAAGACGGGAGGAACGGGAUACGAGGUUGCUCAUGCCAAGAUGUGAAUGGGCCAAAAAGCCCCAGUGCCUCCUAAUUUCUUACGUGCCUGCACUUCCUUCCGGCCAGUGCUCCCCAGGGAGUUUCCUCCAACGCCUCCAUCGGUCCCCGGGCCUCGCAGCAGCCGUGCUGUGUGGUCCGCACACAGGCGAUCUCGGGAAUACUGGGUUGGCACCAGCAGGAGAACUGUUCGUACGGACACCCGAGCCCACCGGAAAGACAUGGGGAAGGGCACCACGGGCCUGCUCUCUGGGCUGGACGCUGGGAUUAACCCUCCAGAGAAGCAGAAGAGGCCAGGGCUGCCCCCACCCCCAGGACGGAGAGCCCGCAGGACGGCAGGGACCUCUCUGGGAGCGGCCUCGGCUUGCGAGCCCCCAGGCGCUCAGUAAUGGAGAGAUUCUGAGUGUAACACUGCCCGGUGACUGGAAGAGAUGUCACCGUCACCAGCUGUGGAUGCUGGGUGGCAGCAGGAGGGAAUGAAGCCCGUGGACAAAAACCAAGAGAGAGACUGACGUGAAGUGAGGCCCUGAGGGUCCUGCUGGGGGCCUGGAUCCACGGCUGGACCCCAGGGUGGAAGGUCGCUCAGUUAACCUGACGUGAGUUGAUUUUCCUUCAUGUACGACCAGAAUGAACCGACGGACUCAGCGGUCUCCGACAUUACUUUUGAGAGCAGAACCACAGAAAGGAGAGCUCGUAACUCAAAAAGGCUCAGAGAAACAGAAGGCACAAAGGAUUGUGGAGAGGGGCUCUUGUUCCCGUGAUACAAGUUGUAUAAUAAAUAGUCACAGCACCUGACUGUCUCUGUCAUUACACGCAUGACGCUCUUCUGAAGGCCUCUAUGUAUUAAUUCACUUAAUCCUCCUAAGAACCCCAUGAGGCCAGUGCUAACAUCAUUAUCCCCACUGAACAGAUGAGGGAAAUCGAGGCGCAGAGAGGUUCAGUAACUUGCCUAAUGCAGCACAGCCAGGAAACAGAAGACAGGGGUGCUGAGUCAAGGUGGCCUGGCUCCCCAGCCGUGACCCUGCUCACACGUCCUGUCCCAGGAAGCGGCUGCUGACGGUGACCGGUGGGCUGGAGGUCCUGCUGUCGAGGUUGGGCUUCCUCUGACCGGUGGCUUCGUCUCCUGGUGGCCGACUCCUUCGGAGAACCAGCCACCUGGAAAACGAAAGGCAGACGGCAAAGCCUGCUGAAUUCAGUGGAUCGUCUGUGCUUAGGAUGGAGAACGAUCAACCGGUUCACUCACUCCUAAAACAUUUUAAGAACAAAGCUUGUGGAACCUGUCAAAAAAGAAAUCACAGACAGAAACUCCACUUGGGUCUACAUUUUGGCCAAUUAACAUGAAAAAAAAUACGAAGAAGGAAGGAGGAGGUGACGAAAGAAGAGAAAGGGACCAGGACUGACGAAGCGGUGCAGAGACGGAGGCAGAGGAGCGCCUGCGCGGAGCAAUUGAGAAAGAAAGGAACGACAGUCCAGGUUAGACACCCGGACAGAGACAGAGAGAGCUGGGGGCACAGAAACACAAACCCCCCCAGGAGUGGGCAGGGCCAGCGGUCAGGGCCCUGAGCAGCCGCGUCUCUGCUGCCCGUCCCUGGAGCGAACGCAGCGCCCGCCACGGAGAGCACCCUGGGAGGAGCCGGCGGCGCAGGAGUGGAAGGUGGACAGCGACCCGGGGCGACGCGGACAGGGAGCACGGCUGUGCGGCUCUUAGCACGUAGAGCCUGGGAUCAGGGGGACUCGGGUCGGAUCUUGGCUUUGUGGCUUCAAAUUUCUGUGAUUUGGGUAAUGUUCCCAUAACUUUUGAUCUUUUUGUGUGUCAGUUUCUUCAUAUGUGAAAGUAAGGCUAUGCUCCAGAUAUUGAGCUGUUUUUCUCUUUUCUCCCCACCACCCUUCCACACUCUGCUUUGUGAGGCUCUGGCUGGCCCUCUGAAGACCACGUUUCAGGUUUGCAAACUGGCUUCCUAGCCCUGCUGACCGUGGGCACCAGGAGGACACUGGAGGGACCAAGAAUGACGAAGGGACUUGUCCGUCCUUGUCCAGGCCCCCGCUCGUCUUCCUGCUCCUGAGAGCCUCAUGUCCCCAAAGCUUUUCCUUCGUAGCCACAGCAACUAAACCCAGUUUGCAGUUUUCCGGCACCCACAGGGCCAGCUUCCCUGAGCCCCCAGAGCCCCCAGCACCAGCGGAGGCCUGAGGCUCCCUGCUCUGCACACCUGGGUUUUGAUGGUCCCAGCCUCCGCCCGCGCCCUCCCAGCCUGGGGACAGCGGCUGCUCCUACAGUUGCUGCCUCCUUGAUAGCUUAGAGGCCCCUUUUUACCCUUCUAGUUACUAGUUAUCAGCUAUGUACCUGGUUGACAACUUUGUUUUCCAUUUUCUCUGUUUAAAGAACUAGUAUGGUUUCUGUCUCCUGCCUGGACCCUAAUUGAAACAGGAUAACAACACCUACUUCAUGGAGGCGUGAGGGUGGACUGAAGAGGGCUCAGAACAUAGCCCGGCUGUGGCAAGGCGCAGGCAGCGUGAGCUCCAUAAUCCACAGGGACAGCAGAACGUUAGACAGCAGUGCCGGCGUGACACAGGUGCCUCCCACGGAGGACCCUGACUUCACCACCUCUGAAGAUGCCGACAGACAUGACCCCCGGAGCGCCAGGCUGCAGAGCCGCGGGGAGACCCUCAGUGAACUCAAGGGCAGUGGGCUGGAGCUGGCACGGCUCUGGAGAAUGAGUGCCUGAAGCCUUAGGAGUUUUGCAGCCACUUGCUGACAUGUUGGUGACUUGAACUCAGCUGUGUGGUGAGUGUUCAAACACGGCAACCAGCCACCCGUACACAUCAGAUCCUUUUCCUUCCGAAAAGCUGGUCGUUGAGCAUUUGCGAGCACACUGCUGUCAAGGGUGGGUCCUCCUGGGUUGCAGAGAGUGGCUUUGACCUCGUCUCAGCGAAAUGAGACUAAGCGUGUGGGAAGGGGACAGAGAGCAGUCCCUCCUUGGUCCUGAGCGAGGACGGAAGUCCUCGCGCGCUCGGCACUCCACAGCCCCUAGAGCAAGGUCCGCAGGCGUUCUCGAAAGGGCCAGCGAGUCGGCAUUUUCUGCCCUGCAGACCAUCUGGUGGCUGUUGCUAUUAUUCAGUGUUCCCCCUGCCGCACAAAAGCAACCACAGGCAAUGCGUAGACGAUGGGUGUGGCCGUGUUCCCACAGAAUUUUAUUUACGGACGCUGAGACUCGAAUUUCAUAUCGUUUCCACAUCACGAAAUAUAAUUAUUCUUUUGAUCUUUUUUCAACCACUCUGAGCUCGCGGGCUACACAAAAUCAGCUGGCAGGCUGGAUUCGGACGGUGGGCCGUCGCCUUCCUGGUGUUGCCUUGAGAUACAACAUGCUGAAUAGUGUAAAGACGUGAGAGCUGACCCACGUCUCAGCGAAUAGUAACAGCAACUCUCAUUACUGGGUAGUUUCUGCACCAACAGCCGUCCUAAGAGUUAUAUGUACAUUCGCUCAUUUAAUCCCUAAAAUGACCCCAGAAUGAAUACUAUUUUGAGACUUAGUGAAGAAAAACCACAUGGCCAAGUUCAGGCAGUGGGAACACGCAGACUGUAAAUUUGAAAGUUUGUGCUCCCAGCCUAUGCCACCCGGCUGGAAAUCCUGGGUCUUGUGUGCAGGAAACAAUCUUGAGCAUUCGCCAGCAACUCACAAAUCUUUCCCGUUUUUCCUCCCCCUUCACAGGAACCAGAACCCAUCCAGCAAACCUACCCAGAAAAACAGUAAGAUGGGCAAAGUCACAUUUGCGACUUUUUAUCUUUUUUAAAGAAUUUUAUAGAAUACGGAAGUAGGUUGAGUAACGCUUGCAGUUUAUUUCCAAAAAUCAGGCUAAUGCAGGGCACCUGCGUCACAUGAGCCAACGUGUGUCCUUGGGCUCCCACGACUGACACACCGGAGAGUCCGAGCGCCGAGCAGCAUCUCCACCCCUGGAGCGGGCGGGACAAAGCUGGGCGCUCUGCUUCAAAUCAGCCCUUUUUUACAAGGCACAGAAAUUAAUUCUUGAGAGGACAGUAACUCCUGGCGGGAAGAAAAUUAUUGACGUUUUGUGUGUAUGUCUGUGUGUGUAUUUAUGGAAGUAAUAUUCAGAAAUGGAAAAAACCCAUAAGUUACAAGGUUAAAUUAAUCCUAGGAGAUUGUCUUAAUUUCUGUAAUUAUCUUACCACUACCUUAGUAAAAAAAAAAUCUCAUGAAGCAAAUACAAAAUGUUAAUAUUGUCGGAUCUAAGUGAGAUAUUUUGUUAUUAACAAUUUUGUUUAGAUGCCUAAAAGCGAUAGUAUGACUAAAUAAAAGAUAGCUUCUCAAGAAGAACAUAAAUAACUUUCCUCAGCUUGAUCUCUAAGAUAAAUCAGAGGGAUGGUGACCUGGGUGCACCUGAGUGGCGUCCUGACGAUGAUUUUCCAGUUAGGUCGGCCCUGACCACAGAUGAUCCUCCACUUGGCUUGGAAACAAGCUCAAUCUAUCUGUGCCAGUAAAACUCAGAAGUCCAGGCACACAUUGCAGGGAAAGCCUAGCUCAACCUUGAAGACCAGGAUAAACAUUCGCUGGCUUAUGGAGAAGGCUGAUUUGUCCCCGUGGGCAGCUGGCUCUUUAAACGAUAAAGUGGCAUGCCAGCUUACCCUUGAAAAGGGUCAAGCAUGGCGAUGGAUCCCGGUGUCAAAAGAAGCACCAGCUGUGGGAUGGGGAUGAUUGAGAAGACUGAGGGUAUCCAGAGCUGGUGAGAGGUGGGGAAACAGGCCCACACGUGCAUUUCUGGCAGGAGGGUAAAUUGGUGCAAUCUUCCUGGGGGAACAUUCGGCAGCAUGCAGAAAAGCCUUUUCUAAAAGCCUUUGACUUAGGAGUCCCACUCCUAGAAAUCUGCCCUACGUAAAGAUUGGGUAAAUGUGUUAGGAUGAACACACAGGAUGUGAACUACUGCAGAGUUUAUAGUGCUGAUCAAUUUGAAAUAACCUGAACAUUUAUCACUAGGAAUUUGGUUAAAUAACUAUGGCGUAUCGACACAGUGAAAACCACAAGGUCACUAACCAGAACGAUAUGGGUCUACAUUUAUAGAUAUGGAAAGACAGACGUUUAUAUGUUGCUAAGGGGGAAAAAACCACGUGUCCUCUGAUUCUAUUGGGGACAUGUGUGUGUGUGCGUGCGUGUGUGUGCAUGCACACAGGAAAAAGUGUGACCAGUGUAAUGUUUACAGCAAUUAUUGCUGAGUAGAAUCAACUUAAUUUUAAUUUUAUAUUUCUCUGAACGUUCUGAAUUUUUCAGGAAUAUGUAAGUAUUAUUGUCUUAAUUAGAAAAAAAUUUGCAUAAACAAAAAUUCUCCAAGAACUGGCCAGUGAUGUCCGCUUGUCCUCUUCCUUUAUGCUGAGCCCUCUAGUUACUUCUGACACAGCUGCUUUCCUCACGACGUCUGCUCAUCGGUCCCCUACCGCAGGGUUCUCAGAGGCUGAUGUGUUCAGGCAUUUGCACUUUGUUGAGGCUCUUAGCAUACAUAUAUGUGUGUUUCUUUAAAGGAGAAAUGACAAAAGAGAGAUACAAGAUUUGUCGUCUGUUGUAACUGUCUACACUUAACAAAUUAACCCUUUUAUCGUCAGGAAGGACAUUCCACGCAAUUCUACGUAAGUUUCAUUUGCAGCAGCGGACCACAGACUGCGGUGACGGCCACAUAAAGCCGUGUUCUUCCUCCCCGGCCCCAUGAGUGUCUCCAGGCCCGGCUGUAUGCUCCUCUGGAGAUGAUGUAAGAGAUCAAAAUACCCCAAAUUGAAAUCUGAGGCCCUUGGGAAUGUGUGCCUGGAGUCACGUGACCCUCCUGACAUCCUCGUCACAGCUCUGCCCCUGUCCCAUGCUGGACGGUCAGGCGAUGGCAGUCUCUCCUCUACCCAGCCCCGCUGUCCCUCCUUCGGCUUUUCCUGGACCGGGCGCUGAGUCUGGGCCUACAGCUCCCUACAUGCACUCUAGGUGCUGCUGGGCUAUUUCCGCCCCACGGCCUUCACGCCGGAGAGCCCACCAGCCCAGCCGCCUGCUGCAGGACGCUGAGGCCAACACCACCCCAUGCGCUGAGGUUUCUCUGCUGCCUGCAGAACGAAACUCUGGAAACAGUGACUCAGGAGCCGUGUCAAGACAGCAGCAUCCAAGAUGGGGAACCACAGGCCAGGCUGGACCAGGAACCUUCGACAGCCACCCAUGUUCAGGAAACAGCCCGAGACCACAGCCUGCACUACGAGCAGGAGUCGUGUCAACACUUCUGCACACCUGGGAAACUCGGCCCUGCCCAAUGCCUCCCGCCAGUGACAGAGCAGCCUGGGCCCCAGCACUCUGAGCAGGACGGGGAGGGGCCUGGAGCAGAACCCGCUGUGCCAGCCGCAGGAUCUCCUUGUUCUGCUGAAUGACCAGUAAGCUGGACGGAGGUGGACAGGGGGACUCAGAAUCCUCAGGCAGCUCCCAUGGGGAAACUGAGCAAGGGCGACCGUCAAGGAAGAAGAUGCGACACAGCCACUCUGCAGCCGUGUGACCCGGAGGCCGCAGCAGGAAUGGACGCGACGGACGCAAAGACAAGAGGUGCCACGAAGAGGGCAGGGGCCACGAAGAGGGCAGGGGCCCUGGAAAACACUUUCUUUCCAUUGCUUUUGAACCUCUGGUCAGUGACAGCGAUAGUCCAUGCAGGGCCUCUCCCUUAAUUUACUGAUAAAUUAAUUUAUGUAAUAAAUUACAUUAUUACAUAAUUAUUACAGUAAAUUAUUUCCAGCUACAUCCACCGUCACCCCAGGCUCCUCUCAUCACAGGCGAUCAUUUUAAAGAGCUUAGUGUGAAUAUUUUUAUUUGCAUAUGUUUUUUCUUUUUUUAAAAAAGAUUUUAUUUUUCCUUUUUCUCCCAAAGCCCCCUGGUACAUAGUUGUGUAUUUUUAAUUGUGGAUCCUUCUAGCUGUGGCCUGUGGGAUGCUGCCCCAGCACGGCCCAAUGAGUGGUGCCACGUCCAUGCCCAGGACUCGAACCAGUGAAACCCUGGGCUGCCGAAGCGGAGCACACCAACUUAACCACUCGGCCACAGGGCCGGCCCCCUAUUUGCACGUGUUUUUGCAAAACACAGAAUGUUUUGUGUUCAUGGAUUUUUAACUUACCACAAGUGGUUAUGUUAAACAUCGCAUUCUGUUUUCCACUAAACAUCAACAUAGCUAUAUGUUGCUAGAUUCCAUAUCGCUGUGUGUUUAUCUAAUUUAUUGUUUCCACUGCCGCAUAGCGUCCCACUGUGUGCCUCCACAUUUCAGCCCUCUGCUCUCCCCGGGACAGACAGACGUCCACAAAUAGUACUGCAGUUAGUGUUACUGUUACAUCCUCGUGGGGGCCCACGUGAGAACGCUCUAGGGUGCACAGCCAGGAGCUGUUAUUGGGACAUUGGUUAAUUUGACUAAAUCCUGCAGGAGUGCUUACCAGCAUGGCUGCAUCCCUCUGUGCCCGCAUUAGCACCUGUGGAACGUCCUCUGUCUCCAUAUCCCCAGGGCAG
rnacentral:lncRNA from 1 species